rnacentral:lncRNA from 1 species
AUUUCAUGAUGCUCUCCAUCGUUCGUGAGUAAUUCCAUCAUAGGCUUGCAGGACGGUGAUGGGUUUGAUGAGAUCUAUCAUGUAAUCGAGUUAGUUUUGUUAGGGUUUGAUCCCUAGUAUCCAUUAUGUUCUGAUAUUGAUGUUGCUAUGACUUUGGUAUGCUUAAUGCUUGUCACUAGGGCCUGAGUGCCAUGAUUUCAGAUCUAAACCUAUUAUGUUUUCA